rnacentral:tmRNA from 1 species
GGGGGUGUAUUAGUUUCGACAGAAAGUACUUUAAAAAGAUAUUUGCAAGUAAGUAAGUAAGCCGCUUUAUAAGCGUUUACAAAAACAUAAGUGCAAAAACAUCACUUAGAGAAAAAUUAGCCUCUGUUUUCAGCGGCUUUGCUUUCUCGCCAGUUGCUGCCUAAUUGCAGCAACCGUCUAGCUUAGAGCUACUCGACUUUGAGAUCUUAGACGCCAUACUUCGAGUUUCCCUGUUGCUGGGUCUGGCGCAGCAACAGUUAAGCAAAACAGCAGAUAAGCAUUAAGAUUUUCGCUUCGGUUUUUAUCUUAAUGCCGAAAAUUCAAUCGAAGCUAAACUUGUAGACGAUGUCUUUUUAACUUUUUGGACAGGGGUGCAACUCCCCUCACCUCCACCA